CCUCUGUUUGAUAACACCUUGUGUGUCAUGAUGUCAUCAUGGCAGCCUGUGCUGAUUGCUGUGGGCGUGGCUCAGCUGGCAGGUGGCUCCAGGUGAAGCUCAUUCCCUCAACCUCCUGCAGUAUUUAAGGCUGGCUCUGUGAUCCACUUGUCGCCAGAUCGUACAGUCUACAAGCGUGGUUGCAGUCUGCCUUGCUCGUUCGUUUGCCUGCCUGCUUGCUCCUCACACCUGCCCUUCUCUCUCUAUGGAUUGGACUCAAUUGUUUGGACUCUGGAGGAGGCCUACCACAUGGUCACGCCCACCACGUCACGGGGCACGCUCUGGAGAGCACAUAGCACCCACCACUCACCACUGGAUUCCCUCGACACAACUUCCCCUUUUUUGCCACCAGCACGUUUAUUGUAUAUAUUUCACGCAUUAAAACAUUUACCUUU